AGUGUAACUUGAGCACUUCGUCUGUCAGGAAUACACAUAAGACUCCAUGAUAGUUUUUAGGCUGAACACUGCUACAUUUUGAUUUUCUCUGUCAGGCGAUACUUUUCUUCGAGAUUCAUGACAUUUUUGUUGAACUCAAAGAAACUAUUACAGACAACCAUGUCCACCAGGUGACAGGACUACCAGGUGACAGGACUAGGCUUGCGUUGACUCACCUGUAAAAUGGCAGCUGAGCACUCAACAAAAGGUUCUGGGGGUCUUAUUCCCCAGUCAGAUCUUCGACUCGUGCUGCUGGGUAAAGUUGGGGCUGGGAAGAGUGUAUUUGCUAGAAAUAUUCUUGGACAAGAGAACUGGAAAGACCGAGGCAUGUGUGUGAAGAAGCAAGGAGAAGUGUCUGGAAGAACAGUGACUGUGGUGGACACACCGGGAUGGGACCCCAUGUCCUUGAAGAGCACGUCCCACCAAAUCAAAAAAGAAAUUGAAAAAAGUGUGACUGUCCCCCAGGACCCCACGCUCUCCUGCUAGUGGUACCGUUAAGAGAAGAACUCUCAGGUAAUGAGAGAAAGUCAAUCCAGCACCACAUGGAGCUUUUGUCAGAGAGGGUUUGGAAGCACACCAUGGUCCUGUUUGUUAGUGAGACUGAGAAGAACAAAUAUGCCCACUCAAAUGUUAUCGAGAGUGCAAGAGGCCUUUUGGAGAAAUGUGAAGGCAGAUAUCAUGUAGUUUGUGGACCUACAAGUAAACCUAUGCAGGUGUCUGAGUUCCUGCAGAAGAUUGACAAAAUGGUGGAGAGAAACUCUGACGAGGUCUUCUUACCUCGAGUGUACUAUGAACUGUUUGAGAAGAAGAGAAGAACUUAUGAAGACCGGGUUGAGAAACUGAAACAUGAGAACAUGAGAUAUGAAAACCGUCUAAAAGAGUUGGAGCAGGAGAUUGAUUGGUAUAAAACAGAAAGAAUGCAUAAAGAGGGGAUGAGGAGGAGGAAAAGUAUGGAAAGGCUUCCUAGCUUGAACUCAGAUCCCACACUACAAGGAGAUGAAGAACAAGCAAUGUCGUCUGAAUAGGAACUUCAAGACACUCAAAGAGGGUUGAAAGGAGAUGGACAAGGUUUCAAUGAACGAUUACUAUAGAAGCCAUUUCACUUUUUCACAGUUUUGUUUGAUUUUUUUGUGCACUAGGGGCGCACCUCUGUCAGAAAAUGAAAGGUUGGUAAUUGGGGUAAAGACAUACAGCUGGCUCAAAAUAUAUUGUUUUUAUCAGAACAAGAUAAAGUCAGAGCCAGUAGAGAGUUACAUGAAUUGAACUCUACUCUGCUUUUUUGUUCUAUAGUUUGUUCUAUCAAUGGAUUAAGUCUACCCAAAAGAUGAAUCCAUGAAGACAAUUCACUUUUUCCCCCUGCGCACAGCCAAUCUUUGAAGCUGCAUCAGUGGCGUUUAUGGAAGUGGAAAUUUGAUUUCAGUCUACAAAACCAAACAGGAAAUUUGUAAACGUGUGACUGUUUGAAGAACCCCAACUUUGCAUUAUACAAUGUCUUAUAAGACAUCUUAUCUCUCUGGAGGAGCUUCAAAGGGUUAAUACGUGACCAUCUGUCUCCCUCCCCCGAGGGUUGGGGGGGAAAGUAUAUUUCCCUUUUAUACUGUGUUGAUUUAAUUUGAUGUUUUAAUGUAACUUCCUUUCAUGUUACGUUAUGAUGAGUCAGACAACCUUGGUAUCCAACUUAUUGUAAUCUACUAACAAAACCAUUUAUCAAUGUUGUGUAUCAAUAUAAAGUAUAUGCAAGGUGGGAACAUUUGAAGGCCACAAUCCUUACAUUCCAUUCACACCUCUCUGUGAAUCAGCUUGGAUAACACCCAAGCCGAGGAAUUGACCAAUGAACUAUCUCACCUACACAAACUGACUGAGAAAACCAAACUCAGUCACCGGAUUGAAAGGAAUACUUUGACAAAAGGACCUUUGAUCGAACUCUAAGGACUUAAACAGAGCCUGCUUUGACCCACUAAUCAACAUACCGACAAAAGUAAAUGCGACUAUAUUUCUUGUGACAUUGGCAUGAAGUGAUUUAUAUUGUGUUUGAUUGGACUACAAGUAAAGCGAACUAUUGUUAGGGUUACUGCUAGACUCUUCAAGUUACCAGACAACAGUUACCAGACAAGGCCUGAUCCUUUCACCCCUCUUCCCACUCUUUUCACCAUUUCAUUGUUCAUUUUGUUAUCCAACAUGUUUCUAUCCAACUCUUCUCAAACAAUAACAUAUGCAGUACUGUUCAUUAUAUUUCCAUUUA